rnacentral:misc_RNA from 1 species
AAGUCGUAACAAGGUUUCCGUAGGUGAACCUGCGGAAGGAUCAUUACCGAGAUAGGGUCUCACGGCCCGACCUCCAACCCUUUGUAGUCGUAAAAAAACCGUUGCUUUGGCGGGACGGCCGGAACGCCCUCGGGCGACCCGCGCCGCCGGGGGUCCAAAACCCCUCGGUCAGCGCCCGCCAGAGGACCACACAAACUCUGCUUCAAACAACGCGUCUGAGUCAAACAAACAAAUGAAUCAAAACUUUCAACAACGGAUCUCUUGGUUCUG